UUAAUGAAGUAGUUUGUUCCAGCAACCACCUGAGUCUUAUAUACUAUGGCUCGAAAGAUGCCAUAUGUUCUGUUUUCCCUGCUUUCAAAUUGUGGCUUCACCUGAAAAAGGAAAAAGAAAAAUAGUUGGCAGAUUCAUAUUUAGGCUUUUCCUUCCCAUCUACCACUCCAAUUUUCAGAUUUCUAAACACACACCUGUAAUGAAAUAAACCCAGAACCAUCUAAAUAAUUCAAUUUACAACUAAAUCUCCAGCCUUCUUUCCUAUUUCAAGUGUUGCCUCCAGCAUUCUUUAAAAUCAUAUUAGAACUAAUGGUUUUUUUUUCCUAAAAGCUGCCCAUCUAAAGUGUUUCCUGCCAAAAACCAACAACAGACCUGCAUAAACAUCAUCAGUUCUUCACUACAUAGCAGUUGCAGAUAGUGUAGUUUCAAAAGAAAAAAUACUCUGUGCUGAAAGCAUUUACCCGCUCAGUUCAGGUAGAUGCAUUUAUGUGCAGUAUCCAGGUUAAGCCCUGUGGAUCUUAAAAUAUACACAGUUAAAACAUUUACAGACUUUUCAUAUACAUAUUGAAAGGAUGAAGGAAAGGACAAAGGAAAGGACGGAGGAAAGGACAUAACUGUUUAUCCUGAAACAAAGUGUAGGGAAAGCUUUAAGUUCAUUACCCAUCACAUUGAUACAGCCCUCUGAGGCAAAAUAUUCCGACAAUUAUAAGGCUGAAGGGGCAGGGAAGUUGCAGGGGGACAGCUGUGAGCAGUGGUGGAAGUCUGUCCAGGUGUCUAAGGCAUCACAAUUUAUGUACCAGUGAUUGUUUUACUAUAGUCAUUUGCAUCCAAUGAUACAAAUUCCCAGCAGAAAGGCAGCCACUGCAAAAGUAACCAGAAAACUUAUUUCUGUCAUCUAGAAAGCAAAAGCUAUCUUUUGCAGGCUGGGUAACAGCCUCUCCUCAGCACAUGACACACGUUAAUGGCUUGAUGCACGGAAGAUGCAUUCCAGAAGUCGGGCAGACCAGUGCAUAAUCACUCAGCAGCCUGCUCAGGCAGUCCCUGGUAGGAGCUCAGCACUUCUCACCACCAAGCUGUUUCACACACGUUCACAGAACAAAUCACCCUUCCCAGCACACCCACCUACAACUCUCUGCCACUCCCAUUCCUUCCUACCAAGCAGGUCCCAAAGAGUGCCCUGGUAACAUCCAGAUCAACUGUUAUCAGUCAGAAAUUAUCCAAUACCUUCAAUUCAUCAUAUUGAGGCUUCUCAUACUCUCUCACUGUUAUCAUUUACUGAAGUAACUGCUAAGGGCCUUUUGAUGUUCAUCCAGACUAACAAGGCAGGUUCCAUAUGGCUUCAAUUUCCAACCCUCUUCCAGCUGGCUGGGUCUGGGGGCUUCUAAGGUGCAAAAGUUAACUGUGGCAUCUUUAGGUACACUUAAUUCCUCUCUCAAGACAAAAGAAAGUCAGCUCUUCCCCUCCCCAGGUUUAUGAUCUCGCCUGGCCUCUGACCACUAUUUCCACACUUGUCAUUUAUGGACAGAGCAUUCAGUAAAUUCAGGUGGGCAAGCAGACAGCUUCUUAACCCACAAGCGGAAAAAUACAACAUUUCUAAGCCCUUAUUUAACAGCUCCUUAAACCCCAAACAUUCCUCAGCUUUAGGUGAUAGCUAUAAAAUAAGGAGACUGGAUAAAGAGCAUUCCCCAACUCACUAAGGUUUAGAGCACAAACGAGGCAAAAGGUGUAAGUAAAUAAUCAUGUAGUCUCAAGAGCUGACAGACCUUGAACAAAUAUAGUUAUCUAUAUGGUAUAUAAGAUACCGAGUUAUGCAGAUGCAUAACUUCACUCAAAUCAUAUCAAUUGCUCCUCCUCUUAGCAGAUCAUAAAAUUGUAUAGAAUUGCAUCAUUAAAGGGUGACACUUACCUGGCCAGAAGCACAGGAGGGCUGCCCCACCAUAAGGUUUGCCUUCACAAGAAUAUUUUCCUUACAGAACUAUAUCAAAGGCUCUGCAUCGGGGCAUGAGCUUUUUCGAAGACAAACAGCCAGCAAAGGGGAGGGCUGAGAGGAGCACCAGGGACACCCCCCUCUCACCCUCAACAGAAGGCAGAAAUUUCACCUUGCAGAAAAUUAAGAGCGAAGAAUAAUUUGCUUUCAUUUUCCUGAAGUUACUGAGAAUAGAAGAGCACCAAAAAUUAGAUCAGUCCUCUUCUGAAAUCAAACCGAAUACCACUAUAUUCACAUUUCAGAUUCUGUAUUUGUCCGGGACUUUGUGAACAUUAGCACAGAUUGAAAUGGACUUUUACAUUUUAAGGUGCAUUUGUUGCCCACUGACCACCAGGCACCAAGGUUUCAUACUUGCUGUGCACUGCAAUACGGUAGGAUUUUGAUCACCCAUAGCACAGCCCAGCAUUAAAAACACAGCUCGAUAUCUGGUAUGCUAUGGUGUUCUAGCACCAUUCGAAGAAGGCCUUUACACAUUUAACACACUCAUUGGUCAAACCUCACAGCCUUCAGCUGGCUGGAGACAUUGCCCUCCCUGUCUUACACGUGAAGAAACCACAAUUGCAAAUACACAAAGGUACCACAAACCCUGGCAUCAUUCUAUGGUCUUCAGCAGUCUGUGGUCUCUCCGUGGGUAAAAAGGAGUUUGUGAUCUAUGCAAGUGCGGCUUGUUAAACCACAUCUGUCAGCAUAGGAGGAACAGUAAUACUGCUCCUGAGCAAUUAAAUCCAUGUCCCACAGACAAAUUUAGAUAACCCUUUCCCUUCCUGUUCUGCAAACUAUCUCCCCUCUGACUAGCCUGUUAACACCAUCCACCAGCACAUACACCUACUCUCCCCCAUGUAUAUGUACAACUGACAGCCUCAGUCUGCCUGUUUUACAAGGAUCUCCUGGUUGCAAUGCCUCUCCGCAUAAACAACCUAGCUCACCUUAGUCUGGCUCCAUCAUUGCCUGCUGUUAGCCUACAAGCUCACAGGAAACACGAAACAGUGCUGGUGGAAAUGCUGUCCACCAUGGCACAGCAAAGGUGAGCUUGGAGUCCUGCACACACAGGAGUGUGCAGCAGUAUCAGACAACAUCUUCAGCCCCACUACUUCUUCCAUCUGUUUCCUCAAGUAGGGCAUAAAUUAUAGUUUGUACAGGUGCCAAAGAAGGAAGAGCUCAUCCCUUCAGAGUUGCAAGGGUGAAGGGGAUUGCUAGGAUGGCUUGGAACACCAGAUGGGAGGUAUGAAAGGAGCUUUCCCAUGCCACGUUGUCCCCCUCCUGCUCCUCAAGAUGUGCUCUGUGUCUUUUUGAAUUGCUGCACCACAAAGGAUUAGAGCAUCUCCAGAGGUGUUGUCAACACUUGUGCUUCCAGGAAGGUACCACUCACUGCCUGUAACUAACCACUUUGGCAACUUAGAAGAAGUUUGGCAACUGGUCUCACCCUGUUCGGCUUGUGCCAAGCUCACCUUGCCCUGCUGGCUCACCAACAGCCCCUGCUUCACAGCUGUUAACUCUAGAAAGCACUAGAUGCCAGGAGAGAACAUGCUAUUUAGCUAUGCCGUGUCCUGCAUAUAAUUUUUUCGUGCAUACACUGCACAUGGUUUGUCCUAUCCACAUACUUCAGUGAGGAAUUAAUUUUAUCAGGUACAAUCUUCUCCCUUCAAAUAUAUCGACCUCAGUGCUGGCACAAUAGAGUUGGUCUUUUAACUAUACGCAAAGAUUAAGUGAAGGUAGCCAGUACUAUGCCUGCCGAUGGACAAGGAUGAAAGAGAAAAGUGAUUUGUUUUUAUCUUACUUGCACAGUGCCUACACAGAACACUGAGAAAAAUACUUACUGACAAAGGCAUUUUCAGCUUCUUCAGUUUAAACACUCAGUAUCACCACCUGGUCUCCCAGCCUUGGCAAAAGAUUCACCCUUCACACAGACUUUAUCUUUAGAUAGGUUGCAACUCACCUGGUCAACAAUAUGCUGGAUUUCUGGAGUAGCAGGCUUAGUUUCAGAUAAGCCCCCAGGUACCAUAGUGGCAGGUAACAUCUCUGAAAUGAUGGGUGGUUCUGAGGAGGGAAGUCCAGAGUAGUCUGAGAAGAGUCACCAGGCACCUCGUAUAUAUACACAUACACAUGUCAUGGAAUCAUAUGACUUUUAACACAUGGAACCUACCACUACCAAACUGGAGGAGGAGAGAAAUACUGAGAGCAGGGGCAGAAAGCCAUAGUAAAUUGGUGAACAGA